CGAAGGGUGCAAGCGUUGCUCGGAAUUACUGGGCGUAAAGCGUGCGUAGGUGGUGCGUUAAGUCUGUCGUGAAAGCCCCGGGCUCAACCUGGGAAUGGCGAUGGAUACUGGCGCGCUAGAGUGCGGUAGAGGAGAGUGGAAUUCCCGGUGUAGCAGUGAAAUGCGUAGAGAUCGGGAGGAACAUCAGUUGCGAAGGCGGCUCUCUGGACCAGCACUGACACUGAGGCACGAAAGCGUGGGGAGCAAACAGGAUUAGAUACCCGUGGUAGUCCACGCCCUAAACGAUGCGAACUGGACGUUGGGAGCAAUUAGGCUCUCAGUGUCGAAGCUAACGCGUUAAGUUCGCGACCUGGGAGUACGGUCGCAAGACUG
rnacentral:rRNA from 1 species